UUUUUAUAUUCGUUACAAAAUGUAAACUUUACUAUGACAAUGAUCUAAAAAAUAGUGCUAACGGAAUUUACGUAUCACCAUUUUAUUAUCAUCUAAAUCGACUAUAUCCCAGAUAAUGUGUAUUCAUUCAACCGGAUCCGUCGUACGCAAUAUCAUCAAUUUCAUUUAUAUUAUUAAUUACUCACAUCGCCGAAAGUGAUAAUAGAGAUUUGCAUGAAUUUUCCGGCAGUUAAUCGUACCACAGAAUUGGAUCUAAGUAUUAUUAAUAUAAAUCCGCGUGCUGUGCAAUCAGGAAGAAGUUGCCAAUCGCACGCGUAAGCGACGUCACCUACUUGCAUGCACUAUUAAGAAAUCUAAUUUGAUAUCGAGUCGUCUUUACUAUAUAAAUAAUUUCGAUGAAGUAUUAGACGCUACCUGAUGUGAGAGUUUCUCGCUAAGAAAACAAAAUACGAAAAUAUUGAACAUCAUGGAGAUAAAUACAAGAAAGUAUCCUAUGGUAAUUUUUAUAUCGUUGUUCUCCCACUCCUGAAAAAUACGAAACUUUUUAAAUGUAAAACGGACGAAUAUAAUCUGAACGAAAGCAUGUGCUCCUUUCAAGAUAUCGUAGAGAAACGACAAAUAUAUAUGUAGGUGCUAAAUGUCUAUUAGACAGAUACGGAAAUGUUACUACUUUUUUAGACUAUCGCCUUACAAUGAUCUAAAUGAUAAUAAAGAUGAGUUGUCUGUAUUGCGAUUACGCAUACAAUAGUAAAAAUUAUACAUUAAUCGUGUAUUAUAUCGAAUCUUGGCAUACCGUGAUACAAAAAUAUCCCAGCAAACACAUAUUUAAUGUGCAACCCAAAAGUUCGACGAGACAUAUGCGAUUAAUCACGUUCUCUAUAUAUUGUAUAAAACUGUAAUCAAUGGAUUUCUUCGUAUCUCGUAGAGUUUUGUAAAAGCUAUCUUUAGCUCUCUUUCGUACCUCAAAGCGCGCACGUGGAGUCCGACAAUGUCUGAAAGUUGAUAAUUCGUAGAUUCAAUCGAAGAAAUUGAGAAGGAAUCUUUCAUCCAUGCCAUCGUCAUCGUCAGUUGACCACAGGCGUGCAUAAUAAAGACCGCAGCGAGACUGCAAGCGCAUACGAAGAUGGAGCUGGUGAUAACACCGGAGAGCAGUUGGAGUGCAUAUACGAUAUCGUAAGCCGGAUUAUAUCUCGUGUCCGCUACUUUGCUAUAGCAAGGACAAGGUAACGGAUGCAAGUAGACCGUAUGAUUUUCUAUGGAAACAGGAACAAGUGUCAUUCCUUUGACCAGAUUAUAAAUCAAAACGCCGCCAAUAGUAAAACCCGUACAAACGAGGAUAAAAUAACGAGCACUAUUGGCAUGAGCCAACAUGAUGUCACGAUCUUUCGAUCUUCUAACCAUACGCCAAUCUCUUUCGAUGUGAUCAAAACACCGACGCACGUUUCCUCGAUGAAACAAGAUGUAACUGUACUUGAUGGCACCCAUGAGCCAAUAACUCACUUGACCGAGCGCCUCCAUCCUCGCUUGCAAGUUUCUUUCCUCGAGGAAAGCGUACAAAGUACACGAUGAUUGCCAAGCACCCAUCGACGUCAAUAACCAACGUAUCAACCGAAUACUAUAUUCGUUGUCGUUAACAAAGAUUAAUACGAAGAAGAGUACAACAAUAGUUCGGCACGCUGAUCGAUACCAGCGAUUUCGUGACUGACACACGUGUGUCUUUGAAUUUAUUGAGUGAGAGGCGAGAUAGAAUUUGAAAGUUUUACCUA